UCCGUAGGCGGGCGAUUAAGUCAGAGGUGAAAUCCCACAGCUCAACUGUGGAACUGCCUUUGAUACUGGUUGUCUUGAGUUACAGUGAAGUAGAUAGAAUAUGUAGUGUAACGGUGAAAUGCAUAGAUAUUACAUAGAAUACCGAUUGCGAAGGCAGUCUACUAACUGUUAACUGACGCUAAGGGACGAAAGCGUGGGGAGCGAACAGGAUUAGAUACCCUGGUAGUCC
rnacentral:rRNA from 1 species